ensembl:lncRNA
UGUGUGUGUAUAUACAUACAUGUGUGUAUAUAUACAUAUAUGUAUAUUUAUACACACACAUAUGUAUAUAUAUAUAUGUGUGUGUGUAUAUAUAUAUGUGUGUAUAUAUAUAUAUUCCUGUAAAAACACAAGUCAACUUUUAAGUUCAUUGGUCCCCCAUAUUGUGUGUUGGUGUACACUAUGUGUGCGAUCUGCCUUUGUGCACCAUUUAACCCUGAUUCUCCUGUUUCCUACCUCCCAAAUCACCCCUUCCCUUCUCCCUACCUUCCUGCUGCUACCCAAGUCCAGCACCUUGAACAUGAACUAUUUUCAACAUGUGGGGAUUAUAGGAGCGGUUUUAUUUAAUAAGGAUAAAAUAACAGCAAAGAAAAAACAGAAAGAAAAAGUCGAGGAAGCAAAAGAUAGACAUGACACACACAGAGUCCGGCCCUCAUCACUUACUGUACGCCUUCACAUCCCUGUCUUUUCCCCCGCCACCUCUCCUCUCUCCCAGCCGCCGAGCUUUCAGUAUGUCUGUCUUUAUUUUACUGCUGGACUAUUAUUCUUGUACAGACUGAAAAAUGUAUUAUUUUGUACAACUUUAUUGAAAAAAAAUAACUUGUAGAAGAUCCCUGUGCCUUGAUCACGACUACGUGUAAAAUGAGCUAAGAUGUAAGUUAUGUUUCACUGCGCUGUACAGCUAGGCAGGCCUCAGCCACCCCCUGUGAUGGUGCACCCUGGGUAGGGGUGGGGUCGGGGGACGAGGCUGCCGUCUAUUGCUUAGUUUCCAUUUUCCCACAUUUGUUUGUUUGUUUAUUAAUUUGUUUUUCUUUACUUUCCUCUGGUUUAUAUAAAAUAGGAUUUAAAGAAGAACAAUAAGCAGACAUGCCAACCUAAUGUUGUAAAAUAUUGAACUCUACCACAAUUUAAUAUAUAUAAAAUAUAUUUCAGAUUGUAUAUUUUAUGUACACUGAGUGUACAAAACAUUAAGAACACAUUCAAACAUUCAAAACAACCUCAAUUUGUAGGGGCAUAGACUCUACAAGGUGUCGAAGGCAUUCCACAGGGAUGCUGGCCCAUGUUGACUCCAAUGCUUCACACAGUUGUGUCGAAAUUGGCUGGAUGUCCUUUGGGUGCUGGCCCAUUGUUAUACACAUGGGAAACUGUUGAGUGUGAAAAACCCAGCGGCAUUGCAGUUCUUAAAAAUCUCUCUUUCACCUGUCUCCUCCCCUUCAUCUACAAUGAUUGAUGUGGAUUUAACAAGUCACAUCAAUAAAGGAUCAUAAGCUUUCACCUGGAUUCAACUGGUCAGUCUGUCAUGGAAAGAGCAGGUGUUCCUAAUGUUUUGUACACUCCGUGUAUAUGUUGUCUAUAGUAUCUCCGUUGUGAGCUCUCCCCAGGCUGUCUUUGCUUUUCGUCACCGACAUCAGCCUACAUUGUCAGAGGGGGAAUCUUUUUAUUUAUUUUUUAAAGCUUUAACUCUUCUUUUUUUUUAAUGGAGAGGCAAAUAUCCAAAUGCAAAACAUUGCUUGUUUCUACAUAAACCAAACUCUUUGCUUAAAACAAUGAAGAAAAAGAUUUUGUGCAGAGGCUCAGUCCCAUUUCUUUUUUGUAAGCUGCUAUUUUCCGUCAUCUCCACAUUCUUCAAACUGAGCCUCCUUUAUGGCCCGCAGCCUUGCCCUACUACCAGAUCACAACCACGAUGACCCUCUCUGUAUUAAGGAAAGUUACCGUACCCCAACGGCCGGGACACCUUCAGCCAUAUGACUAUACUCGGUCAUGGCUCUGUCUGUUACUAGCGCAUAGCAGUAUUUAUGUAUUUAUUUGUCAACUUUUGCCAGAUUUGGACAUGAGAGUACACCAAGCCCCACUCUUGAGGCAUAGCCUUGCCCUUUUCAAAUAGUGGCACUGUGACAGUGGUGGGAAACCAGGUUUCAGCUAUUACGUUCAUUUAGUAUGUUUACCUUGAUGUCUCCUCUGUUUUCCUAGCCUAACUCACUGCAGCAGCAAGUGAGUGUAAUUUUAGCACCAAAAACCACCUGGCUUUUUCUAUUUUUACAUGGAGUGUUUUCAAUGUAUGUUGCUUUUCCAUGUGUCUAGUACUUCCUGUACAUUUUGUACAAAGACUUCAAUUACAGCUGUAAAAGCAGAGUGUUACACUGUCUGAGUAAAUGGGAUGGGAGGGUUUGCGGGGUAGAUAAUGAGUUCACCCCAUCGAAGCUGUAAAUUCACUUACCAUAUGUGCUGGUGUUAGGUGAAUGAAAAAUGAAAGAACAAUAUAAAGAUGUUGACUAUAACCAGUGGUCAGCUAUAGAAUGGCUUCUUCCAAAAACAACCCCAGGUCCUUAACCUCUUUGGGGUUUGCAGAUCUGAAGGGACUGGAUAGGUGUAAAACUAGGUUAUUCUACUGUGAUUCUCAACUAGUCUUCCGAUUGGUCUAGGGGAGCUUCUGGGUUAUGUCGCUUACGUCUAUCCACUCAUUUCAUAACUGCAAGACUAGAGGGGUGAGGGGUUGUUUUUGGACAGAGUCUGAGAGACAAAGGCUCUCUGUAGCUCUAUGGUGUCCUGAAUUGAUGGUGUAUAGAUGAUCAUCAAUGCUGUGAGGCAGUUAUAAUCUGUUUGUCCAGUCAACUGUCAGCUUGACAAACAAGAUCAGCAAACCUUCAAAAUGGCCUUCAUGGUAGAUAACAGUCUCUGUUGCAUAUUGCCACAGGCACAUAAGAUGCAACAUUUAGGAACGGGUCUCUUCUUCAGUAGCCUGAACUAUUAUAACUUUAAAAUGUAAGUGUGGAGGAUGAAACUAGUCUUGUUGCUCUCCUGGCAAUUACUUGAACAAAGAACAAAACAGAUAUUUGAUCAGCUGAAUAUUAUUGUAUUAUGAGGACAAGAGUGCAACUAAAGCGACUUUCAUUCCCUGAU